GCUCCAUGCAGGGAGCCCGACGUGGGACUCGAUCCCGGGUCUCCAGGAUCACACCCUGGGCUGCAGGCAGCGCUAAACCGCUGCGCCACCAGGGCUGCCCUCACCCUAUUCUUUUUCCUCCCUCACUCCUGACUAGGGAGCAGCUGUCCAUGGCAGCAAGAAAUUGAGCCCCACUCCAGUUACCUCAAGCAGUAGGAAGUUGGCGUCAGAGUACCUGUGCCUGCCUCUGCCAGUCUUAGGCCAUCUAUCCAGGUGUUUGUUCUGUUCUCUGGCAAUAUUCCUUUAAAUUUCCAUUUCUCUCCUAACUUCACCUUACAAGUUGAGCAAUUCCCCUGUGUUAAAAUUCCCAGGAGAGGUCACCUGCCAUAGCAGAUCUUUUUGAGUAACUCGUGGGUUCCGAGUGCCUUCUCCGGACCUGUGAACUGGGUGAUUAAGGUGUGGCCACUUGGGCUGGUCUCUGGUGUGGGGCUUUGUUCCAGAGUCUGGCACGUACUCUUGCUCCUACUUUUUCCCCCUAAGAAAUUACCACUCAUCAUUAAACUGCUGUUCUAGUGUUGAUACCUUUGAGAAGUCUCUCGGUCUUUUUAAAGAUUUUAUUUAUUCGUGAGACACAGAGAGAGAGGCAGAGACAUAGGCAGAGACAGAAGCAGACACCCUGUGGGGAGCCCAAUGCGGGACUCGAUCCCAGGACCCCCAGGAUCACGACCUGAGCCAAAGGCAGAUAAGUCACCCAGGUACCCUUGAGAAAUAUUUCUGAUCAGCCUACUGCUCUUCACAAGUUGUUCAUUCUGUCUUCUAGGCAGCCUUCCCCAACACCGGAGAUUUGGUCCCAUCAUCACAAAGGGUUUUGGGUUCUCCCUCCAUCUUUACAUGUUCUUCAAAGUCUCAGGCCUGCUGGAAUCUUUACUAAAAAUCACUUUUUGGACAAGCAGUUCUACAACACAGCCUCCAUCAAACCUCCUCUGGGCUUUGGCUCCAGGUUUUGGAUAGAGGAUGGGCUUGAGAUAGCACUCAGGCUAGGUUACUCUGGGUAUGGAAUCAUCCAGGGAAGUCUUUGUUGUCUCAUGGCUCCCUCCUUGAGCAGUCUUCCUGCCUGCCAUUGACAGGCUAGCAGUCUGAAGACUGAGUAUGGCUAUACAUUACCAAGCUGUGCAGGGGACUGAUAAGCCAGCCAUUAAGACUGCCAGAGUUCUGGACCCACGCUGUGCCAGAUGCCCCCAUCCCUGCUUGGCUGUUGCCUCUUCUGUGCCGUGGAGCAGUUACUGCCCUUUCGGAGCUAUAGCUGCCCAGUGGUAUCACAGUCCCCAUAUAUGUGCCUGCCAGAGAUCCUAGGCAGUAGGGAGAGAGAGUGUAGAGGCUGAGACCUUCAGUCUCUGGGAGAUCAGACCUCGGGUGAAAAACAGCCCUUGGAACUGGACUGGGCCCUGGCCCAGAUUACUCAAAAGGCUUCAGUCUAGAGCAAGAAGGUGUCCAGCAAAAAGGGCUAGGUCCACAGGGAAUGUCACACUCUCCCAAAGAGCCCUCUAGUUCCUGUACUCCCAGUGUAUGCUUGCUGUCCGGAAGGCCAGAGCCCAGUUCUAGCAGACUCCCUUGCAUACGUGUACAGGUCUUUGUGUCCCUACCUUGUACACUGCCCUGGACUGGAACUUGGGCAGCGUCCAAAGAAGAGAUUGUUGGACCUUGGUGGACUUCAUCCUGAGGGCCAGCACCAUGUUCCUGUGCCCCCAGAGCCCAGUGCUCUGUGCCCAUUGCACUGUAAUAACAUUUUCAGACUCUACAAGGCCCUACUCAGUAGUGCUUGACUGAGGCACUCACUUUUUGGUGCUUGGGUGAUGGGUAGAAAGGAGAGGCUCUGGGCUUCUGUAGUAUGCUAGGCAGAAGAGCAGGGAAGACCCCUUCCAGGGCAAGAGGAGCUGCCCCCCCCCCCCCAGGCCCCUGCUGAUCACCCUGGCACCAGGACAUAUGCUGGACAGAUUGAGAUCCCCAUCCUGGCACCCCAGAAAAGCUCCUAAACUAGCUUGAGAGGGAAUUCGUAUCCACAGAACCCUGCUUACCCCUGCCCAUCCUCCCCAUGUCUAGGGCAGGAAAGACCUCUCCCAUUCCAUUGUGAUCAGGUUUUGUGUAUUUGUUUAACCUCUGAAAACCAAAAAGACAAAAAAAUGUCAGAUUUUGCCCAAAGGACUGAUAAUCCCUAGGUGUUUUAAAGAUCUGAAGCCUCAUUUGUGAUCCUGGCAGCUCCUUGAAGGAAUAUCACAGCCAGUGGGUUUAUUGGAUUGUGAAGCAAGGCUUUCUUCCUUGUACUGUUGCCGAUAAGGUUUGUGACCCUGGGCAAGUCUUGUUCCUUGCUAGGUCUCUGUUUACUUAAUCUGUAUGAGGGGUUGGCCUAGGUCAGGGAUAGUAAAUGGACCUUUUAUCAGUCACUAACUUGUAUAACAAACCCACUCCAAAAUUUAGUACCUUUAAUAAACAUUUAUUAGCUUCUGAAGGGGUGGCUUGGCAAUUGGGGCCAUGCUCAGCUGGGUAGUUCUACUUCAUUUCAUCUGGGCUUUGAUGUGGCUGAGGUGAGUUGGCAGAUUGGCUAGGAGCCCUUGGGAUAACCUCACCCACUUGUCAGGUGGUUGGCCAGCCAAUGGGGCAGCUGGGCUGCAUGUUGCCAGCAUCUAGUAGGCAGGACCAGGUAAGCCCCAACAUGCAAGUGCUCUUUAAGUUCCUGCUGGUGCCAUGUCUGUCAGGUUCUAUUGGCAAAAGCAAGUCAUGUGGUUAAGUCUAAAGUCCUCUUAACUUGAGGAGCUUCAAAAUAGGGCCAUAAUUUGUUUUUAAUCCUUCUCUGGCCUUGUUUAAUUUGCUAUUCAGAAUGGUUAGUAGCAUGCUUUUUGAAGAUUUGGAACUUUUAGACUAUUAGGAAAUAGUAACAUAAUUCGAUCAUGUGUUUUUAUGGAUGAGGAGUUGAAAUGUGGGUUUAUGAGUGGAUCUUCCAGAAGGAAAGGAUCUCCGGAAGGAAAACAGGAGUUCUGUUGCUGGAAGAAGGGAGGCUUGGGUUGACACAAACAACAGGUCUCCAUUGUGUAGUUGUGCCCGUUUUGUAUAUAUAUUUUUUUAAUUUUUAUUUAUUUAUGAUAGUUACAGAGAGAGAGAGAGGCAGAGACACAGGCAGAGGGAGAAGCAGGCUCCAUGCACCGGGAGCCCGAUGUGGGAUUCGAUCCCGGGUCUCCAGGAUCGCGCCCUGGGCCAAAGGCAAGCGCCAAACCGCUGCGCCACCCAGGGAUCCCUGUAUAUUUUUUUUAAUAGAUGUGAAGGUUCUAAAACUUGGCCCCAUUGACAGCUGGUAUCUAUACCUUCUCCCCUUUAUCUGGACCCUGGCUGAUGAGCAGAAUACAGUGAUGGUGAUGUUGUGCCCGUCUAACAGUUCUGUUCUUAAGAACUAACAGUUUCCAUUUCUGUGUCUUGAGACCCAGCCACCAUGCUGUGAAGAAGCCCAGACCACAUAGAAAGGUCUUGACAACCCCAUCUUCCAGCUGACCGCCAGUGUCAAUUGUCAGACAUGAGUGAGGAAGCCUUUUAGACAACUCCAGCCCAGUCACUGAGAACAAAGUAAGACCCUAGCUCAUCCCAGUCAAAGCCCAGCACCAUGAGGGGAAUAAUCCAUGAUUGUCGUCGUUUUUAAGCUACUAAAUUUUGGACUGAUUUGUUCUAUGUCAGUAGAUAAAACCAGAACACAAACUGAGGCUCAAAGAGGUUAAGUAGUUUGCUCUAUUUUAGGGGGACUGGGUUAAGAGUAUAGACUUUGUGUUGUACUGAGUUCUAAUCUGGAUUAUGUUGUAUGACUUCAGGCAAGUUAGUUAACCUCUCUGAGCCUCAUCUUCCUCUUCCUCUGAGAAGCAGAAAAGACCACAUUGUUAUUAUGACAAUACUUAAUAAAGGAGUUCAUUUAUUAUUACCUAA